UACGUAGGGGGCAAGCGUUGUCCGGAUUUAUUGGGCGUAAAGGGCGCGUAGGCGGUUUCUUAAGUUUGGAGUGACAGUGGGUGGCUUAACUACCCAAGGCCCCUGAAAACUGGGGAACUUGAGGACCAGAGAGGGACAUAGAAUUCCGGGUGGAGUGGUGAAAUGCGUAGAUAUCCGGAGGAAUACCAAAGGCGAAGGCAGUGUCCUGGAGGGUGACUGACGCUGAGGCGCGAAAGCUAGGGGAGCGAACAGG
rnacentral:rRNA from 1 species